AACGCACAUAGCGCCCGCCGGCCAUUCCGGCGGGCAUGCCUGUCCGAGCGUCGAUGACGCCUUUCGAGCCCCUCUGAUGGGCUCGGUGUUGGGGCGCUAGGGGGCGGUUUCUCGCGAAGCUCCCCCUAGGCCCCUAAGCAGAAGUGCGCGGUCCGUCUGCGGGCCCCGGGUACAGUAACUUUACCGUUAGAUGCCCUGGGAGAAGCAGCUGGGCUUGCCGUAAAACCCCCGACAUAGGGACUCCGGUCCCGCCAUAUGUUGACCUCGGAUCAGGUAGGACUACCCGCUGAACUUAA
rnacentral:misc_RNA from 1 species